rnacentral:rRNA from 1 species
UACGUAGGGGGCUAGCGUUGUCCGGAAUCAUUGGGCGUAAAGCGCGUGUAGGCGGUCCGGUAAGUCCGCUGUGAAAGUCGGGGGGCUCAACCCUCGGAUGCCGGUGGAUACUGUCGGGCUUGAGUACGGAAGAGGCGAGUGGAAUUCCUGGUGUAGCGGUGAAAUGCGUAGAUAUCAGGAGGAACACCCGUGGCGAAAGCAGG